UGGGGAAUAUUGCACAAUGGGCGCAAGCCUGAUGCAGCGACGCCGCGUGCGGGAUGGAGGCCUUCGGGUUGUAAACCGCUUUUGUUCAAGGGCAAGGCACGGUCUUUGGCCGUGUUGAGUGGAUUGUUCGAAUAAGCACCGGCUAACUAUGUGCC
rnacentral:rRNA from 1 species